GACGAACGCUGGCGGCGUGCCUAAUACAUGCAAGUCGAACGCUGAAGGAGGAGCUUGCUUCUCUGGAUGAGUUGCGAACGGGUGAGUAACGCGUAGGUAACCUGCCUGGUAGCGGGGGAUAACUAUUGGAAACGAUAGCUAAUACCGCAUAAGAGUAGAUGUCGCAUGACAUUUGCUUAAAAGGUGCAAUUGCAUCACUACCAGAUGGACCUGCGUUGUAUUAGCUAGUUGGUGAGGUAACGGCUCACCACGGCAACGAUACAUAGCCGACCUGAGAGGGGGAUCGGCCACACUGGGACUGAGACGCGGCCCAGACUCCUACGGGAGGCAGCAGUAGGGAAUCUUCGGCAAUGGACGGAAGUCUGACCGAGCAACGCCGCGUGAGUGAAGAAGGUUUUCGGAUCGUAAAGCUCUGUUGUAAGAGAAGAACGAGUGUGAGAGUGGAAAGUUCACACUGGAAGGGAAUCUUACCAGAAAGGGACGGCAAACUACGG
rnacentral:rRNA from 1 species